rnacentral:rRNA from 1 species
UAAGACGAACCUUGCUAACGUUAUUCGGAAUUACUGGGCUUAAAGGGUGCGUAGGCGGUGCGGAAAGUUGGGUGUGAAAUCCCUCGGCUCAACCGAGGAAUUGCGCCCAAAACUGCCGCACUAGAGGAAGACAGAGGUACGCGGAACUUAGGGUGGAGCGGUGAAAUGCGUUGAUAUCCUAAGGAACACCGGUGGCGAAAGCGGCGUACUGGGUCUUAUCUGACGCUGAGGCACGAAAGCUAGGGGAGCGAACGGGAUUAGAUACCCCGGUAGUCCUAGCCGUAAACUAUGAGCACUUGAUUGGAGGGUCCUCCAUAGCCUUCCAGUCGUAGCGAAAGUGUUAAGUGCUCCGCCUGGGGAGUAUGGUCGCAAGGCUG